ACCAGGAUGGCCGAGUGGUUAAGGCGUUGGACUUAAGAUCCAAUGGAUGUAAUCAGUGGUGGUUGCUAUGGUGUCCAUGGUG
rnacentral:tRNA from 1 species